rnacentral:lncRNA from 1 species
AAGGAAAAAGAAACCUAUUUCUUGUGGGUAACCAAGGUUGCAUUUAAAACUUUUUCUAUACAUCCAACUAAAUAAAGAUCAAAUCUUUACCUAGAUUGUAAUGGAAUAGGGAUCAAAUCUUUGAAAUUUGGAUUCAACCUUCGCGUAGGAUUGGAACUACAGGCUUUUUACUUCGCACGUACGCUAGACAAUGCAGGAAAGCGGAAUGAAUCUCUGAAUUGAUGCACCUUCACAAGGCCAC